GUUAGGAAUAUUGGACAAUGGGCGCAAGCCUGAUCCAGCCAUGCCGCGUGAGUGAUGAAGGCCUUCGGGUUGUAAAGCUCUUUAGUCCACGAAUAUAAUGACUGUAGUGGAAGAAUAAGCCCCGGCUAACUUCGUGCCAGCAGCCGCGGUAAUACGAAGGGGGCGAGCGGUAUUCGGAAUCACUGGGCGUAAAGCGUGCGUAGGCUGUUUUGUAAGUCAGAAGUGAAAGCCCAGGGCUUAACCCUGGAAUUGCUUUUGAAACUACAAGACUCGAAUUCGGGAGAGGAUAGCGGAAUUGUCAGUGUAGCAGUGAAAUGCGUAGAUAUUGACAGGAACACCAGUGGCGCAAGCGGCUAUCUGGACCGAUAUUGACGCUGAGGCACGAAAGCGUGGGGAGCAAACAGGAUUAGAAACCCGUGUAGUCC
rnacentral:rRNA from 1 species